rnacentral:tRNA from 1 species
CGUAGCUCAGCUGGAUAGAGUACUCGGCUACGAACCGAUCGCUCAUAGGUUCGAAUCCUCCCG